rnacentral:rRNA from 1 species
AACGAACGCUGGCGGCAUGCCUAACACAUGCAAGUCGAACGUGAUCCGUGCCUUCGGGUGCGGUGAAAGUGGCGCACGGGAGAGUAACGCGGGGGAACCUGCCCAAUGGUAGGGAAUAAACGCGGGAAACUGCGGCUAAUACACUAUGAGCCCUACGGGGGAAAGAUUGAUCGCCGUUGGAGGGGGCCGCGUCGGAUUAGGUAGUUGGUGGGGUAAUGGCUCACCAAGCCUUCGCUCCGUAGCUGGUCUGGGAGGAUGAUCAGCCACACUGGGACUGAGACACGGCCCAGACUCCUACGGGAGGCAGCAGUGGGGAAUAUUGGACAAUGGGGGCAACCCUGAUCCAGCAAUGCCGCGUGAGUGAAGAAGGCCUGAGGGUUGUAAAGCUCUUUCGGCGGGGACGAUGAUGACGGUACCCGCAGAAGAAGCCCCGGCUAACUCCGUGCCAGCCGCCGCGGUAAGAC